rnacentral:rRNA from 1 species
UAGGGAAUCUUCCGCAAUGGACGCAAGUCUGACGGAGCAACGCCGCGUGAGAGAAGAAGGAUUCCGGUUCGUAAAACUCUGUUGUUAGAGAAGAACAGCGCAUAGAGUAACUGUUAUGCGUGUGACGGUAUCUAACCAGAAAGCCACGGCUAACUACGUGCCAGCAGCCGCGGUAAUACGUAGGUGGCAAGCGUUGUCCGGAUUUAUUGGGCGUAAAGCGAGCGCAGGCGGUUAAUUAAGUCUGAUGUGAAAGCCCCCGGCUCAACCGGGGAGGGUCAUUGGAAACUGGUUGACUUGAGUGCAGAAGAGGAGAGUGGAAUUCCAUGGGUAGCGGUGAAAUGCGUAGAUAUAUGGAGGAACACCAGUGGCGAAGGCGACUCUCUGGUCUGUAACUGACGCUGAGGCUCGAAAGCGUGGGUAGCAAACAGG